rnacentral:rRNA from 1 species
GACAGAGGGUGCAAACGUUGUUCGGAAUUACUGGGCGUAAAGCGCGUGUAGGCGGCUAAGUAAGUCGGGCGUGAAAUCCCACGGCUCAACCGUGGAAGUGCACUCGAAACUGCAUAGCUAGAGUCCUGGAGAGGAAGGUGGAAUGCUUGGUGUAGAGGUGAAAUUCGUAGAUAUCAAGCGGAACACCGGUGGCGAAGGCGGUCUGCUGGGCCAAGACUGACGCUGAGGCGCGACAGCGUGGGGAGCAAACAGG